UACGUAGGGGGCAAGCGUUGUCCGGAUUUAUUGGGCGUAAAGAGCGUGUAGGCGGUUUGGUAGGUCCGCUGUGAAAACUCGAGGCUCAACCUCGAGACGCCGAUGGAAACCGUCUGGCUAGAGUCCGGAAGAGGAGAGUGGAAUUCCCGGUGUAGCGGUGAAAUGCGCAGAUAUCGGGAAGAACACCCGUGGCUAAGGCGGCUCUCUAGUACGGUACUGACGCUGAGACGCGAAAGCGUGGGGAGCGAACAGG
rnacentral:rRNA from 1 species